UACGUAGGGUCCGAGCGUUGUCCGGAAUUACUGGGCGUAAAGAGCUCGUAGGCGGUUUGUCGCGUUGUUCGUGAAAACUCACAGCUCAACUGUGGGCGUGCGGGCGAUACGGGCAGACUUGAGUGCUGCAGGGGAGACUGGAAUUCCUGGUGUAGCGGUGGAAUGCGCAGAUAUCAGGAGGAACACCGGUGGCGAAGGCGGGUCUCUGGGCAGUAACUGACGCUGAGGAGCGAAAGCGUGGGGAGCGAACAGG
rnacentral:rRNA from 1 species